rnacentral:misc_RNA from 1 species
CGGCGAGCUGAAAGGGAGCCAAAACAGGCAAAUCAUAGCCCAGAUUACGUUUCUGGGCCAAGAAAUUCUUGUCUUCCUGUUGAGACUGCUCUUGAAUCUGAAAAAUAGGCAAAUCUACAUAUUCCCAUUGUUUGGCAUUUUCCAAAAACUUCAAUGGAAAAACUUGGUUAUCAAUCUCCAACUCAAACUCAUAAGCAACUGAAUUCCCAACCCUCGCAUCUUUGAAAUCAAAACUCGAAACCUUAAAAUCG